rnacentral:rRNA from 1 species
AUUGAACGCUGGCGGCAGGCCUAACACAUGCAAGUCGAGCGGAUGAAGGGAGCUUGCUCCUGGAUUCAGCGGCGGACGGGUGAGUAAUGCCUAGGAAUCUGCCUGGUAGUGGGGGAUACCGUCCGGAAACGGGCGCUAAUACCGCAUACGUCCUGAGGGAGAAAGUGGGGGAUCUUCGGACCUCACGCUAUCAGAUGCGCCUAGGUCGGAUUAGCUAGUUGGUGGGGUAAAGGCCUACCAAGGCGACGAUCCGUAACUGGUCUGAGAGGAUGAUCAGUCACACUGGAACUGAGACACGGUCCAGAGUCCUACGGGAGGCAGCAGUGGGGAAUAUUGGACAAUGGGCGAAAGCCUGAUCCAGCCAUGCCGCGUGUGUGAAGAAGGUCUUCGGAUUGUAAAGCACUUUAAGUUGGGAGGAAGGGCAGUAAGUUAAUACCUUGCUGUUUUGACGUUACCAACAGAAUAAGCACCGGCUAACUUCGUG